AGGUGUUUAAAAUGUGUCUUUGCAUUUUCUGCAUAACUGGAUCCUAGCUCAUUAAGGAUCUCCUGCGCUUUCCAGUGUCCCAGCAAAAUGUGGCUGCUCCAGAAGAACAGAGAUCCUGCAGAGGAGGCAGUGCCAGGAGUGUCUGAGAGAGAGAUUGUGUCUCAUUUUUGGUACUCUUCCCAGAGAGAAAAGAACAAAUCGUGCAGCCCUUCAUGAGGCCAAGCUGGAUGAACAAUGUCAUGAACUUGGGACAUUAGAAGGAAUAUCCUUGUUAAUAAAGCAGUCAAGCAG